rnacentral:rRNA from 1 species
UAAGGAAUAUCGGACAAUGGGCGCAAGCCUGAUCCAGCCAUGCCGCGUGCAGGAUGACGGUGCUUAGCACUGUAAACUGCUUUUGUUUGGGAAAAAAUCCCUGGUUUCUACCGGGGUUGAUUGUACCAAGAGAAUAAGGGACGGCUAACUUCGUGCCAGCAGCCGCGGUAAUACGAAGGUCCCAAGCGUUAUCCGGAUUUAUUGGGUUUAAAGGGUGCGUAGGCGGAUUAUUAAGUCAGUGGUGAAAGCUCCAUGCCUAACAUGGAAAUUGCCAUUGAUACUGAUGAUCUUGAGUACAUUUGAAGUGGGCGGAAUGUGUCAUGUAGCGGUGAAAUGCUUAGAUAUGACACAGAACACCGAUUGCGUAGGCAGCUCACUAAACUGUAACUGACGCUGAGGCACGAAAGCGUGGGGAGCAAACAG